UGUGGCCAAGACUUUUCUCCUCCUACCCCCAGCUGGCAAUGAUGCCAGAUGGCCUAGGGCACCUCACUGCACUCCAACACCUAGGGAUCUCCUCCUGCCCUCAGCUGGCAAUGCUGUCAGAUGGCCUGCAAAACCUCACUGCACUGCAACAGCUGUAUAUCUACCGCUGCCCCCAGCUGGCGAGGCGUUGCAAGAGGGAGACAGGCGAGAACCAGCACAAGAUUGCUCACAUCCCACACAUCACCACCUGGCCAAAAAAAGAUGGAGAAGAAAGCAGCAAGCUAUCAUCUACCUUCGCAAUGAAAUUUCUAGAUUAAUUUGGUUGUGCACACUGCAUUUAUUGAUCUUCCUACACUGUUGCUUUGGUUCAAGGAACUCAGCUGUCAUCAACUUAAGGACCUUGGGGAUCACGCCAAUCCAUCUUUAAAGCCUCACAGAUUUCCAGAGCCUGCAAAUCUCUUAUUGCCUCUGGAGAGAUAUUGUUAAAAGGGUGGAGUCAGAAAUUAGUAUCAGAGUGCUUGCUUUCCAUUCCUAAACAAAAGAUAUCUAUGUUUGCUUCUGUUUCUAUUUAUUUGGCCUUCUGUCUUGUGCUGCUUACUGUCAUUACUAUGAAUAAUGUCACAUUUUCUUUUUUUUCCUCU